rnacentral:rRNA from 1 species
AUGCAGUCGAGCGGUAACAGAAAGGAAGCUUGCUUUCUUUGCUGACGAGCGGCGGACGGGUGAGUAAUGCCUGGGAAUAUACCCUGAUGUGGGGGAUAACUAUUGGAAACGAUAGCUAAUACCGCAUAAUCUCUUCGGAGCAAAGAGGGGGACCUUCGGGCCUCUCGCGUCAGGAUUAGCCCAGGUGGGAUUAGCUAGUUGGUGGGGUAAUGGCUCACCAAGGCGACGAUCCCUAGCUGGUCUGAGAGGAUGAUCAGCCACACUGGAACUGAGACACGGUCCAGACUCCUACGGGAGGCAGCAGUGGGGAAUAUUGCACAAUGGGGGAAACCCUGAUGCAGCCAUGCCGCGUGUAUGAAGAAGGCCUUCGGGUUGUAAAGUACUUUCAGUUGUGAGGAAGGCAGUUAAGUUAAUAGCUUGGCUGUUUGACGUUAGCAACAGAAGAAGCACCGGCUAACUCCGUGCCAGCAGCCGCGGUAAUACGGAGGGUGCGAGCGUUAAUCGGAAUUACUGGGCGUAAAGCGCAUGCAGGCGGUCUGUUAAGCAAGAUGUGAAAGCCCGGGGCUCAACCUCGGAACAGCAUUUUGAACUGGCAGACUAGAGUCUUGUAGAGGGGGGGUAGAAUUUCAGU